CAGAAUCGUCCCCCUCGGAGAAAGCGUUCUUCCCGUCCCUCCCUCCCCUGGGGAUUUGGUGCUCUUGUUGCACUUUUCCUCCUUACCUGUUGUGCAAACUUUGCUUUUUGUAGUAACGCAUCUCUUUGUGUUCUCAGCCGCAGCUGCCAAAAUCGUCUGUAAUAACGAGAGCUGAGCCGAAUGAAAUUGGGAUGCCGAGCCGCGUAGCCUGAAGUCCUGGUGGCAAAAUUUGGCAGCUCCCCUUACAGAACGAGCUGCACAGCCUCACGUGUGAGCUGCUGCCUUUAGUUAAGUGUGCUGGUGGGGAAGGCGAAGGCAAAUGCCUUAAGGUCUACCAUGCAUGUGCUGCAAAGAGUCAAAGCUCGGUUGUCAAAGCCAAGGUGACAGUGUAACGUCAAGGAGAAACUGACCUGGAAAAUUAGCCCGGUGGAAGAAGACUUAAAAGUGUUUUUGUCAGUUAAAUGGACUCCAAACGCCGGCAAACCCAAAACACAGCAGGUUUUGGGAGGAGGAGGCGCCCAGCGUCCUUUCCUCCUUGCCAUUAACCACCCGACUGAACUCGGACAAAAUUGGCAGCAGGUGAAGUGGGGAGGACUGUAAGUAGACACGUCGUAGCAACAGGGAACAAUUUGAGGCGCAUUUUGCACACCCGAGAGGAGCCGUCCGCCUUACUGAUGUGACACUGCCUGGAGCACACCGUUGGCCUCGCGGGAGAACCGCAUCGCAUCUCUCGUCCGAGAAGAUAAGAUUUGUGCUCCCUAUCAGCGUCCCCCAGUUUCUGCAUGAAAACCAAGCGUGCAUCACAGCUGGCAAACAAGGCAAAAGAAGAUGCAUAAGGGUACCUGAAAUGAAGCAGCUUCGAGGGAGCAGAGGAUGAAGAGCAGAUCUCCAAGCAUUAGAGGAGCAAAGCAGCAAGCCUCCCCACUCAAGAGCAUUAUUUCAAGCUCCAGCUCCUGGAACAGAAUAGCAUUACCAUGCACCCAAAGGCCUCAAGCUGCUGGUAAGCUAUUGCUGGUGGCCAGAGAUGUUAGAUACUCACAAGCAUGUUCUCUUCUCCUGCAGACAUUAUCUGAAAUCUACCACUUCUGCUGCCACCUCAAGCUUACUGCAGACAGAAGGGGAACCACACCACUCCGAGCAGCAGCAGCUUAAAUCCUUGGUCUCGCACAGGGAGCCCCUACAAGAAGGAGGCAGCGCUUAAUAAGAUUAGCAAAUGUUUAAGUCUGAGCAAAU
ensembl:lncRNA